rnacentral:RNase_P_RNA from 1 species
GUGGGUUUUCUCGUGGUUUCGCCAUCAUGAAUGGUGAGGAAGUUCUAUCCAUGCGACUGGAACUGAGGCACGUGAGUGCUGCUGGGAAACCGGUAGGUCAGGAAAAGAAAAGAGCGCCUUUCCACAAAUGCGAUGAUGAGGUCAGCCUCUGAGGUCGUGGAAAGAAGCGGUGCAACAUAUCCUCCCUCAGCAUGCAAGACCAAACGAUGGCCCGUGAGCCCAGUCCGAGGCCAGUGGUAGGUCGCUUAGCCCAAUACCACGAACCCGUUGUGCAUUGGAUAGCAUGUCCAAUGAUGCAAUGGGGCAAUUACAAAAGAUAGGCUAUAGGAAACCCAC